AUGAAGGGCUACCUUGACGGCUCGAUCGAGGAACCCGCUGCUGUCAUCGUCACCGAGAAGGAGACCAAUGGGAAGAAGGAGACCACCGAGCUGCCCAAUCCAGAGCAUGCAAUCUGGGUUACUCAAGAUCAACAGGUCCUAACUUUUUUGCUCGCAUCUCUAUCCCGUGAGGUUCUGAUGCAGGUGUCCAAUCACACCACCGCCGCGGGCGUCUGGCAAGCCCUGGUCGAGAGCUUCUCUGCGCAGUCCCGAGCACGUCAAAUUCAGCUUCACUCGGCGAUCGGCAACGCCCGCAAGGGCGAUCUCUCCGCCUCUACUUACUUCACGAAGAUGAAGGGGUUAGCAGAUGAACUUGCUGCUGCAGGAAAGCCCCUCGAGGAGGAGGAUAUCGUCUCGCACAUCCUCGAGGGCCUCAUGCACGAGCCCGACUACAACGGGUUCGUCACCUCCAUCUCCAUGCGCGCUGCCACCGAUCGGCCGAUCGGUCUCAGCAAACUCUUCACGCUGCUGCUCUCUGCGGAGGCCCGGAUCACCGCCCAGCACGCCGCCUUCUCCGCUCAUCACUCCGCCAACCUCGCUGCGAAGGGUGGUCAUGGCGGCUACGGCGGCGGUCGCGGUGGUCAGGGUGGUGGACGCGGUGGCUACGGCGGGGGCAACUACUCGGAUAACUCGGGCAAUGGUGGUGGCGGUGGUGCGCCGCGCCAGCAGAACGGUGACCGCGGUGACCGUGGUGACCGCGAACGCUGUCAAAUCUGCAAGGAGGAAGGGCACGGUGCGUGGCGCUGA
rnacentral:rRNA from 1 species